rnacentral:rRNA from 1 species
CCUACGGGUGGCAGCAGUGGGGGAUAUUGCACAAUGGAGGGAACUCUGAUGCAGCAAUGCCGCGUGAAGGAAGAAGGUUUUCGGAUUGUAAACUUCUAUCAGCAGGGAAGAAAAUGACGGUACCUGACUAAGAAGCCCCGGCUAACUAUGUGCCAGCAGCCGCGGUAAUACAUAGGGGGCAAGCGUUAUCCGGAAUGACUGGGUGUAAAGGGUGCGUAGGCGGUAAGGUAAGUCUGAUGUGAAAGACUGGGGCUCAACUCCAGGGGUGCAUUGGAAACUAUUUUACUAGAGUACAGGAGAGGAAAGCGGAAUUCCUAGUGUAGCGGUGAAAUGCGUAGAUAUUAGGAGGAACACCGGUGGCGAAGGCGGCUUUCUGGACUGAAACUGACGCUGAGGCACGAAAGCGUGGGGAGCAAACAGGAUUAGAUACCCCAGUAGUC